UUUGAUCAUGGCUCAGAUUGAACGCUGGCGGCAGGCCUAACACAUGCAAGUCGAGCGGCAGCACAGAGAAACUUGUUUCUCGGGUGGCGAGCGGCGGACGGGUGAGUAAUGCCUGGGAAAUUGCCCUGAUGUGGGGGAUAACCAUUGGAAACGAUGGCUAAUACCGCAUGAUGCCUACGGGCCAAAGAGGGGGACCUUCGGGCCUCUCGCGUCAGGAUAUGCCCAGGUGGGAUUAGCUAGUUGGUGAGGUAAGGGCUCACCAAGGCGACGAUCCCUAGCUGGUCUGAGAGGAUGAUCAGCCACACUGGAACUGAGACACGGUCCAGACUCCUACGGGAGGCAGCAGUGGGGAAUAUUGCACAAUGGGCGCAAGCCUGAUGCAGCCAUGCCGCGUGUGUGAAGAAGGCCUUCGGGUUGUAAAGCACUUUCAGUUGUGAGGAAGGUGGUGUCGUUAAUAGCGGCAUCAUUUGACGUUAGCAACAGAAGAAGCACCGGCUAACUCCGUGCCAGCAGCCGCGGUAAUACGGAGGGUGCGAGCGUUAAUCGGAAUUACUGGGCGUAAAGCGCAUGCAGGUGGUUUGUUAAGUCAGAUGUGAAAGCCCGGGGCUCAACCUCGG
rnacentral:rRNA from 1 species